AAUCUGUGUUUUCAGUGACGCUUGAAGGUGAAACUCUCCCUUGUAACUAGAGAGUUACAGAUCCUUAGAGAGGCGCUUCAGUGGUUUCAUUCAGCGGUUACUGCAAAAGCUGUCCAGGUAAGUCCCAUGACAGCCUCACAGGGUCCUUUGAAGGAUCAAUCAGUCCACAGGAUCAGAGACUACUUUGCCCUCAGCAUUUUCAGAAUUUCAGCGACAGGGCAUAAUACAUUAUUUGAUUAUCUUAGCUUAGUAUAACAAAAUCCCAAGCUCUUCAAUUCCUAAUAAUAUGGGGUUUUUGUUUUUGCAUUUUUUUUUUGUGGUGAUUAUUACUUCAUAGCAAACUUCUCUCUGCUGGUGUUUUGCUGUUUUGCUUAUCUCCACUGGGGCUGGGUUAUAAUAGCUUGGAGAUGUUUGUUUCCUGUUUGUGGAAUGUCUGACUUUCCAGCUCACUUUGCCCACAGGUUUGAGGCUGAUAGAUUCCAGGAAAAUAGGAAGAAUUCCAUUCAAAAUACCAUAAAAAUGGAGCAGGCUACAAGACUUUUGAGAUAACACUACUGUUAAAUUUUUUAAAAGAAAGACAUUCUGAACCUGAGAGUCUCUUCAGUUUCAUGAAGUGUCCCGGCAGGACGCUGAAGGCUACCGAGAACCCUGACUCCUAUUAAAUCAGAUGGUACCUUAUUGUUGCGUCAGAGCAUUUUUCUACUUUCUCUCCCUUAUGGAGCUAGCUCAAAGGUGUAUUUUAGCUCCUGUUUUCUGAAAGUCCAUGAAAGAGAGACACUAUCAGUUUGCAACAAUUAUCCUUUAUGUAGCACUUUUAUUUUAGUAUUCUCAUGGAGCAACAAAGCAGGGCACCUUACCUGCAGAAAGUCAACAAAAAGGAGGGGAGAUGCUAUUGUCUUUGAGCUGGGGAAGGGUUCUCUGUUGACAAGUUAGACUCCAAAAAAUUUGAGCCCCGGAUUGAGGUAGACUAAGGAACCAUAGUCUGUCUUGUGCCAUAUAAGCACAAAGAAUUUUACAAGAACAAUUCAUAAUAAGCUUUGUUAAACUAAAAUUUUAUCUUUUUGUUAUGA
rnacentral:lncRNA from 1 species